GCUAACAUAGGCAUGGUUCCUCUACCGGUCACAGUAACAUUUACCUUCCCAACAAAACCUGGGAACUACGUUGAAAUUCCAAGCUACAAUAUUUCACAACUUAAGGACAAUUACACCAUACAGUGCAGUCCCCCUCAGGAGACAAUUACUCAGAACUGUUCUAAGAUGGAAAGCUGCAAGAUGGUUGAGUGUCACAUUCCCACAUUAGACAGGUCUGAGUCAGUUCUGUUCACACUGACUGUGAGUGCAGCCUUCAACCUCAAUCCCAAUAAAUAUACAUUCACUGAAAUGAGGUAUAAGGACUACAAAAGUUUUGUGGAAAUCGGCUAUAAUAAAACACGUUACAAACAGACUGGAA
ensembl:lncRNA